AGCAGCCGCGGUAAUUCCAGCUCCAAUAGCGUAUAUUAAAGUUGUUGCAGUUAAAAAAGCUCGUAGUUGAAUUUCGGGGUCAGCAGGUCGGUCGUGCCAAUGGUAUGCACUGGCCUUGCUGAUUCCUCCCUCUUGAUGAGCCGUAAUGUCAUUAAUUUGGUGUUGCGGGGAAUCAGGACUAGUUACUUUGAAAAAAUUAGAGUGUUUAAAGCAGGCAAGCGCUUGAAUACAUUAGCAUAGGAAUAAUGAAAUAGGACGUUUGAUCCUAUUUUGUUGGUUUCUAGGAUUGACGUAAUGAUUAAUAGGGAUAGUUGGGGGCAUUAGUAUUCAAUUGUCAGAGGUGAAAUUCUUGGAUUUAUUGAAGACUAACUACUGCGAAAGCAUUUGCCAGGAUGUUUUCAUUAAUCAAGAACGA
rnacentral:rRNA from 1 species